UACGAAGGGGGCUAGCGUUGCUCGGAAUCACUGGGCGUAAAGCGCACGUAGGCGGAUCUUUAAGUCAGGGGUGAAAUCCCGAGGCUCAACCUCGGAACUGCCUUUGAUACUGGAGAUCUUGAGUCCGGAAGAGGUAAGUGGAACUGCGAGUGUAGAGGUGAAAUUCGUAGAUAUUCGCAAGAACACCAGUGGCGAAGGCGGCUUACUGGUCCGGAACUGACGCUGAGGUGCGAAAGCGUGGGGAGCAAACAGG
rnacentral:rRNA from 1 species